CUCUAAUAGAAAUAAUUAUUAGUAACCCCUGCUCAAUGAUCAUUUAAAUAGCCGCGAUUACACGUGCUAAGGUAGCAUAAUAAUUUGCCUACUAAUUAUAGGCUUGUAUGAAAGGGCCAACACGAAAAAUUCUUUAUUACCACAACAAAUCAAAAUUCAUCUAUGAGUAAAAAAGCCCAUAUUUAUCAGAAAGACGACAAGACCCUGUCGAACUUAACUUAUAGUUUUGCUGGGGUGGCAAAAAAACUAUAUCUUUGAUUACAACUAAUAAUCAUCUACACACAAAUAUAAAAAUUAAACAAGUUACCGCAGGGAUAACAGCAUAAUUUUUUCCAAAAGACCAUAUUAAAGAAAAAGAUUGUGACCUCGAUGUUGAAUAUUUUUACUGACUGGAGCAACCCCUAAAACAGUGAGUCUGUUCGACUUUUAAAAACUUACA
rnacentral:rRNA from 1 species